GCCUCCAUAGCUCAGUGGAUAGAGCACCUGUCUUGUACACCAGGUGUCGUGAGUUCGAUCCUCACUGGGGGCU
rnacentral:tRNA from 1 species